rnacentral:tRNA from 1 species
GGUUCUAUGGUGUAACGGUUAGCACUCCAGACUCUGAAUCUGGCGAUCUGGGUUCAAAUCGCGGUAAAACCU